rnacentral:rRNA from 1 species
UGGGGAAUAUUGGACAAUGGGGGCAACCCUGAUCCAGCCAUGCCGCGUGAGUGAUGAAGGCCCUAGGGUUGUAAAGCUCUUUCAACGGUGAAGAUAAUGACGGUAACCGUAGAAGAAGCCCCGGCUAACUUCGUGCCAGCAGCCGCGGUAAUACGAAGGGGGCUAGCGUUGUUCGGAAUUACUGGGCGUAAAGCGCGCGUAGGCUGCAUAGCAAGUCAGAUGUGAAAUCCCGGGGCUCAACCUCGGAACUGCAUUUGAAACUGCUAUGCUGGAAUCUUGGAGGGGGUAGCGGAAUUCCUAAUGUAGGGGUGAAAUCCGUAGAGAUUAGGAGGAACACCGGUGGCGAAGGCGGCUACCUGGACAAGUAUUGACGCUGAGGUGCGAAAGUGUGGGGAGCAAACAGGAUUAGAUACCCCCGUAGUCC